rnacentral:rRNA from 1 species
CCUACGGGGCGCAGCAGUGGGGAAUAUUGGACAAUGGGCGAAAGCCUGAUCCAGCCAUGCCGCGUGUGUGAAGAAGGCCUUCGGGUUGUAAAGCACUUUCAGUGGGGAAGAAAGCCUUGGGGCUAAUACCCUCGAGGAAGGACAUCACCCACAGAAGAAGCACCGGCUAACUCCGUGCCAGCAGCCGCGGUAAUACGGAGGGUGCGAGCGUUAAUCGGAAUUACUGGGCGUAAAGCGCGCGUAGGCGGUCUGAUAAGCCGGUUGUGAAAGCCCCGGGCUCAACCUGGGAACGGCACCGGAACUGUCAGGCUAGAGUGCAGGAGAGGAAGGUAGAAUUCCCGGUGUAGCGGUGAAAUGCGUAGAGAUCGGGAGGAAUACCAGUGGCGAAGGCGGCCUUCUGGACUGACACUGACGCUGAGGUGCGAAAGCGUGGGUAGCAAACAGGAUUAGAUACCCUAGUAGUC